rnacentral:lncRNA from 1 species
CAAAUGACCAGAUCACCCCAUAAGAAUCCCUAUAAAUAGAGGGCACCCCCCACUCAUUGAAGGCAAGUCAUUUGGAGAAGAAGGAUUCCUAGCGAAGCAGAGCUCUGCACACUUGAGUUCCGGUCCGGUUUCCCGCGGAGUUCCCCGCUUGGCGCUUGCUUGCGCGUCUUGGAGUACUGGUCGGGUUUCACCCCCAUCAGU